GAUCUCCAUCAACACCUGGAUCCUUAGGGUAUUCAGUGGGGUGUAAGUAUGGUACCUCCUUAGUGGGGGUGAGACACGUCGAUCCUUCCUCUGAGGGCUUAGAGGUCAGUGAUUUCGAGGAGGGGUCCCAUUCCUUUGGCGACAAGGCAGAGAUCUGGAGCGCUGUCGAGUCUUCUUCUCUCGCUCCAACAAGUGCUCCUUAUUCAAACUCUUAGGCAUCCCCCCAAUAGGGAUAUCUUCAUCUAUGAAGACUUCAUCCAUGAAUGCAUACUUCUCUACCCGAGCUAACAUGUCAGUAUAGCCCUGGGGGUAGGUCUUCAUCAGUGACCGUUUGAGAUC
rnacentral:lncRNA from 1 species